UACAGAGGGUGCAAGCGUUAAUCGGAAUUACUGGGCGUAAAGCGCGCGUAGGUGGUUUGUUAAGUUGGAUGUGAAAUCCCCGGGCUCAACCUGGGAACUGCAUUCAAAACUGACAAGCUAGAGUAUGGUAGAGGGUGGUGGAAUUUCCUGUGUAGCGGUGAAAUGCGUAGAUAUCUGGAGGAACACCGGUGGCGAAGGCGGCAUCCUGGACCGACACUGACGCUGAGGAGCGAAAGCCAGGGGAGCAAACGGG
rnacentral:rRNA from 1 species